rnacentral:rRNA from 1 species
CUCCGGUUGAUCCCGCCGGACCCGACUGCUAUCAGAGUGGGACUAAGCCAUGCGAGUCAACAUAGCAAUAUGUGGCAUACGGCUCAGUAACACGUAGUCAACAUGCCCAGGGGACGUGGAUAACCUCGGGAAACUGAGGAUAAACCGCGAUAGGUCAUCACUUCUGGAAUGGGUAAUGACUUAAAUCUAUAUGGCCCCUGGAUUGGACUGCGGCCGAUCAGGCUGUUGGUGAGGUAAUGGCCCACCAAACCUGUAACCGGUACGGGCUCUGAGAGGAGGAGCCCGGAGAUGGGCACUGAGACAAGGGCCCAGGCCCUAUGGGGCGCAGCAGGCGCGAAACCUCUGCAAUAGGCGAAAGCUUGACAGGGUUACUCUGAGUGAUUUCCGUUAAGGAGAUCUUUUGGCACCUCUAAAAAUGGUGCAGAAUAAGGGGUGGGCAAGUCUGGUGUCAGCCGCCGCGGUAAUACCAGCACCCCGAGUGGUCGGGACGAUUAUUGGGCCUAAAGCAUCCGUAGCCGGUCCUGCAAGUCUUCCGUUAAAUCCAGCUGCUCAACAGAUGGGCUGCGGGAGAUACUACAGGGCUAGGAGGCGGGAGAGGCAAGCGGUACUUUAUGGGUAGGGGUAAAAUCCGCUGAUCCAUAGAAGACCACCAGUGGCGAAGGCGGCUUGCCAGAACGCGCUCGACGGUGAGGGAUGAAAGCUGGGGGAGCAAACCGGAUUAGAUACCCGGGUAGUCCCAGCUGUAAACGAUGCAGACUCGGUGAUGAGUUGGCUUAUUGCUAACUCAGUGCCGCAGGGAAGCCGUUAAGUUUGCCGCCUGGGGAGUACGGUCGCAAGACUGAAACUUAAAGGAUUUGGCGGGGGAGCA